CCCCUAGAUGCUCUGGGCCGCACGCGCGCUACACUGAACAGUUCAACAAGUCUUAACCUUGGCCGAUAGGUCUGGGUAAUCUUUGAACGCUGUUCGUGAUUGGGAUAGACCUUUGCAAUUAUGGGUCUUCAACGAGGAAUUCCUAGUAAACGCAAGUCAUCAGCUUGCAUUGAUUACGUCCCUGCCCUUUGUACACACCGCCCGUCGCACCUACCGAUUGAAUGGUCCGGUGAAAUCUCGGGACGGCGGCUUGGUCGCUUGCGUCCGACUGCUGAAACUUGAUUAAACCAUAUCAUUUAGAGGAAGGUGAAGUCGUANCA
rnacentral:rRNA from 1 species